rnacentral:rRNA from 1 species
GUCCCAGUUCGGAUUGUAGUCUGCAACCGACUACAUGAAGCUGGAAUCGCUAGUAAUCGCGGAUCAGAAUGCCGCGGUGAAUACGUUCCCGGGUCUUGUACACACCGCCCGUCACACCAUGGGAGUCGGAAAUGCCCGAAGUCUGUGACCCAACCGUAAGGAGGGAGCAGCCGAAGGCAGGUCGGAUGACUGGGGUGAAGUCGUAACAAGGUAAC